rnacentral:hammerhead_ribozyme from 1 species
AUCCAGUGAUGAGUCUCAAAUAGGACGAAAUGCGCGUUAUCCUGGAU